rnacentral:rRNA from 1 species
AGCAGCCGCGGUAAUUCCAGCUCCAAUAGCGUAUAUUAAAGUUGUUGCAGUUAAAAAGCUCGUAGUUGAAUUUCGGGAUCAGUACGCUGGUCGUGCCUUUGGUAUGUACUGGUGUCACUGAUUCCUCCCUUCUGAAGAACCGUUAUGCCAUUUAUUUGGUGUGGCGGGGAAUCAGGACUGUUACUUUGAAAAAUUAGAGUGUUUAAAGCAGGCUCGCGCUUGAAUACAUUAGCAUGGAAUAAUGAAAUAGGACGUUUGAUCUUAUUUUGUUGGUUUCUAGGAUCGACGUAAUGAUUAAUAGGGAUAGUUGGGGGCAUUAGUAUUCAAUUGUCAGAGGUGAAAUUCUUGGAUUUAUUGAAGACUAACUACUGCGAAAGCAUUUGCCAAGGAUGUU